rnacentral:rRNA from 1 species
UGCGUAGGCGGCUUUUUAAGUCGGAUGUGAAAUCCCUGAGCUUAACUUAGGAAUUGCAUUCGAUACUGGGAAGCUAGAGUAUGGGAGAGGAUGGUAGAAUUCUAGGUGUAGCGGUGAAAUGCGUAGAGAUCUGGAGGAAUACCGAUGGCGAAGGCAGCCAUCUGGCCUAAUACUGACGCUGAGGUACGAAAGCAUGGGGAGCAAACA